rnacentral:tRNA from 1 species
CGACUUAGCUCAACCAGGCAGAGCAACUGAUUUGUAAUCAGUAGGUUGUAGGUUCGAUUCCUAUAGUCGGC